AUGCCAAGUGGCAGGGAUUUGGAGGCCUUUGGGACAGAGCGAAGACUUUGGACGCCCACUCAGGAUAAAGGUAAAAAUGUACCCACCUGCCUUCCAAUACCCAUCCUCCUUUUCUUGGGUUCCAGGGAAGGCUUUCUGGGAGCCAAAGAAUGCCUGCCCUGGAGUCGAAGGAGGUUGCAGCUCCUUGGCAUCCCAGCGCUUGGGAGCUUAGGGGUUGCCGCCCAGGUCAAGGAUCUGGGGAGAGUUUCCUCAGUUCAGACUGUUGUCAGUGUGUGUAAGUCAGGUAGGGUAGGCAUGACUGGGAUAGGGGUGUGGAGAGCCCAAGAAAAAGAGGAUGCUUUCAUGUGGUGUGAACAUGUGUUUUUAUUUUUUUAUUUUUUUUUUUCUCUUGCUUCAAUAGCCACCACGCCAGGACGCUGUUGAGAGGAGACUCAGAGCCUGAGUUCACCAAGGACAAACCCUGAGCAGAUAACAGUGACUUCUUCUGGGGAGGGCUGUAGCACUGGGGGCCUCAGGGGAGGAUUUUCCUUGUUGCUCCCUGUAUUUUGGUAUGAUGUGACCUUUUCUGGUGAGAAUGUAUCUAAAUAUUAAUUUUGUAUGAAAUAAAAGUUUUUCAAAGAAAGGCUCUGGUAUUCUGGGGUUUCAGAUCCCUUUGAACAGCUUAUGAAAACUAUGGGCUGGUUCUCCCCCGUCCUGCCCACCAUGUGCAUACCCAGCUCGGAGGGAGGACCAGACUCCUGACCCUGGAGCUGAGCCAGCUCCUUCCCGUGUAGAAGCCCACCUGCCGCCACCAGCUGGGCCACUGGGAUGUCCUCGCCCCUGUCCCCACUCCUUACCUGCGCAUGUGCAUGCAUGUUAAGUCGCUUCAGUCGUGUUCGACUCUUUGCAACCCUAUGGCCUGUAGCCUGCUGGCUCCUCUGUCCAUGGGAUUCUCCAGGCAAGAAAGAGUACUGGAGUGGGUUGCCAUGCCCUCCUCCAGGGGAUCUUCCUGACCCAGGGAUUGAACCAGCAUCUCUUUAUGUCUCCUGUAUUGGCAAGUGUGUUCUUUACCACAGGAGCCACCUGGAAAACCCUACUUCUUACCCAGUCCCCCCACAAAUUCUAGACUGACUCUUCUUGGGGUCACUGUUUCUCUAACUAGAGGCAUCAGAAUCACCUCCUGUUAUUCUUUCAGCCACUGCUCCAGGUGAAGAGCAUUCACUGUGCCUUUCGGACUUCACCUAGAUCCAGAGAUGGAAUUCACCCUGGAACAGUGCUCAUCCCCUCUCCAGUACCCCUGGGAAUCACUUGGGAUUAGGGAGAAUGGGAAACCAUCUCCUCUUAAGAGUCAGGAUGAUGAGAUGGGUGGCAUUGAAGACUGUGAUGGUCUCAGCUGGAAAAGACCCUGGAGGAUCAUCCCACCCCAGUCAGGGACUGAGGAUCCAGAGGUGAGGGUGGCUUUUCCCAAGUACCCCACUGUCCUCUGAGCCCUGUCCCUGGGCCUGGGCCUCCCCUCUGCACUGAGACAGAAUUGGGCUACAAGGGGGAAGGCAAGAGGGGUGCAGGGUAGGGGCUCUCUUCCAGGCUCUGCGGAUCUUGCCUCACUCUCAUCUCAAGGGACUCGAUUGAGUGAACCAGGUGUCCCUGUCACCUGACCCAGAAACUGGCAUGGAGUCGGGAAGGGAAGAAAGGCAGCAGGAAGCUCAGCCCCACCCCCCUGUGAGGAGGCAGCACUGUGAAGGAGGGAAAGGUGUGCUGAGGUCUGUUUCCACUUCCUCGGCAUCUUCCUUUCCAGCUAGUUCUGUUCUG
rnacentral:lncRNA from 1 species